UGAUGAAAACACACUGAAGGAUCAGUGUGGUCAUUUUUCCCAUGCAGUAGUUCUCAGUGUCGCCGCCAGAUGGCAGUGUUGGCCCAGCCCGCGGCGGUGCAGACUCAGCUGCAGCGCCGCUGUGAGUGCGCAUCGGUCGGACUCGCUCUCCUCCGGAGCACCGCAGCAGCUCGGUAGUUGCAGUGGAAUGUCAUUAGGCUGAAGACAGUCCAGACCUAUGAUGUCCGCUCUGCUGAGGAGCUCCACUCGGCAGUAACCGGCGUGAAGGCAACAGGGUUAAUCCGCCGUCUGGUGCACCAGGUUGGGAUUUUUUAUUCCCCUCUCAGAGAUUAUUUUGAAAUGUGGUGCGGAGCGCUUCAUCCCACAGAAACCAAACCAGCCAGCAGCAGAAACUUGGGAGAUCAUUUUGUUUCUUUACACGUUUCAUGAAAUUGAUAACGUCAAGUUGAAAUCGCCCGGAUGCUGUUUGAAGAGCUGAAGAGAAGGCAGGAGAACCCGGCGCCACAGCAGAUGAUGUCCGGAUUAUUAUUCACUUGAACGACCUUGGGUUAUAUCUUCUGUCACCGGAUUAUUUUUGGUUGGAAUGGAGAAAAACCUGACGCAUUUGCCACACUCUGUUAAAAUUGAGAAAGGGAGUGCUAGCCAGCAAGAGAGCAGCACUGACUGUUUCAACGCCAGCAGACCCACACAGGGAUGGGCCUCCUAGCCUCCUAAAUCACCACCCUCUACUGCGUUAUACUGAUCGUCACACAUGCUGCCACUCAGACAUGGAUGAGAGUGGGAGUGGAUGACAGGAGCACCAAGGUGACCACAGCAGAGAGAAGUGAAGGGGAAGCACAGAGUUGCCUCUGGGAUGGACUGAGCCCUCACUUCCAGAAUCAAAAU